GACAGAGGAGCCAAGCGUUGUCCGGAUUGACUGGGCGUAAAGCGCACGCAGGCGGCUCAGCGCGUGGGGUGUGAAAGGUGGCGGCUCAACUGCCACACGCCAUCCCAUACGGGCCUGGGCUCGAGCCAUGCAGAGGUCCACGGAAUUGCCGGUGUAGUGGUGAAAUGCCGUAGAGAUCGGCAGGAACACCUAGGGGGAAACCAGUGGACUGGG
rnacentral:rRNA from 1 species